rnacentral:rRNA from 1 species
UACGAAGGGGGCUAGCGUUGUUCGGAAUUACUGGGCGUAAAGGGCGCGUAGGCGGCCUGCUAAGUCGAACGUGAAAUCCCUGGGCUCAACCCAGGAACUGCGUCCGAUACUGGUUGGCUUGAAUCCGGGAGAGGGAUGUGGAAUUCCAGGUGUAGCGGUGAAAUGCGUAGAUAUCUGGAGGAACACCGGUGGCGAAGGCGGCGUUCUGGACUGUAUCUGACACUGAGGAACGAAAGCCAGGGGAGCAAACGGG